rnacentral:lncRNA from 1 species
UCAUUUAAAAAAAAUUUUCUGCUUAAUUUUUUUUUUUUUUGGUAAUUUUAUUUAGGGUCUCGAAGCUCUCUAUCAAAACCUACAAGAGUCACGAGCCUUAACAGAGAGGGGAUGACAAACUGUUUGCUCCUCGGUCUGCGAUGAACAUUAACAUCAUCUUCAGCGUCAGCAAAGAUCUUAUGGGAAUCAGUGUGCCUUUCACAGUCUCCUACCCCCCACCCUGGUCGUUACUGGAACUGAGCUAAAACCCUAGCCCAUGAUAAUCACUGAAAACAUCAGGGUCAUCUGAAGAAAAUGAGUGAGAUGGACAAGAGAAAGAGUAGAUACAAACAAGGAAGAAGAGGAAGGUAGGAAUUAUUGUUAUUUUUUAAAGUUUUA